rnacentral:rRNA from 1 species
AUUGAACGCUGGCGGCAGGCUUAACACAUGCAAGUCGAGCGGAGAUGAAGUGCUUGCACCUUAUCUUAGCGGCGGACGGGUGAGUAAUGCUUAGGAAUCUGCCUAUUAGUGGGGGACAACAUUCCGAAAGGAAUGCUAAUACCGCAGACGUCCUACGGGAGAAAGCAGGGGAGCUUCGGACCUUGCGCGAAUAGAUGAGCCGAAGUCGGAUUAGCUAGUUGGUGGGGUAAAGGCCUACCAAGGCGACGAUCUGUAGCGGGUCUGAGAGGAUGAUCCGCCACACUGGGACUGAGACACGGCCCAGACUCCUACGGGAGGCAGCAGUGGGGAAUAUUGGACAAUGGGGGGAACCCUGAUCCAGCCAUGCCGCGUGUGUGAAGAAGGCCUUAUGGUUGUAAAGCACUUUAAGCGAGGAGGAGGCUACUGAGACUAAUACUCUUGGAUAGUGGACGUUACUCGCAGAAUAAGCACCGGCUAACUCUGUGCCAGCCGCCGCAGUAAAAC